UACAUAGGGUGCGAGCGUUGCCCGGAUUUAUUGGGCGUAAAGGGCGCGUAGGCGGCCACGCACGUCCGUUGUGAAAUCGCCCGGCUCAACUGGGCGGGGUCAGCGGAUACGGUGUGGCUAGAGCAAGCUAGGGGGCAAUGGAAUUCCCGGUGUAGUGGUGGAAUGCGUAGAUAUCGGGAGGAACACCAGUGGCGAAGGCGGUUGCCUGGAGCUUUGCUGACGCUGAUGCGCGAAAGCGUGGGGAGCGAACAGG
rnacentral:rRNA from 1 species